CAGCAGCCCAUGCAGGGAUCGAACCGGCAACCUUGGUGUCAUGAGCACUGCACUCUAACUAACGGAGCCCCCCCAGUCAUUUGUUUUGAGGGUUGGUGGCUUGGUGGCUGGCCGUGGUCCCCCAUAGGAUGAGGUCGGAGGGCCUAAGUCUCCACCCCGAAGACAGAAGCUGUGUCCCCAGCUCUGUCAACAAGUGUGUAAGAAACUACCAGAGCAAAAAGAAGAUGGGGGAAAGGAAGAAAUUAGAUGAGCUCAUAUAACUUAGGCAUCAGAGUGGAUAUUGUUAUUCCCACUUAACUGGAAAAACAAAAUGAAUCCUUGAAAUAUGAAGUACAGAUCCAUGCAGCUAAUGGCAGAAACAUCAGUGAAAAAGCAUAUUGGAACAGAUUGAAUCCAGAAGCAGAUGUUAGAAUCCAGCUGUUUUCUGUCAAGCCAGACACGAAGGAGAUUUGCAAACUGCAAAAAUGAAGAAACUGAGGCUUAUUAUGCAUGAUUCGGUAACUUAUCCAAGGAUCAGAGACUGUAAGUGGUGGGACUGGGAACUUGUUUUGGAACCUAUAUUCCAGAGCUUCUUUCUACUAAUAUCUUUUCUAGUAGAAAUCAUUUCAAUACUCCGUAAAAAGGAGACUUUGAAGCAUGAGUUACAAUCCAGGAAGGACACCCAGAAGUAAGUACCAAUGGAUGGUUCUCAAUUAGUGGGACAAGAAGUUGUUAAUGUGGCGUCUGCACCUUUAUAUGGGCACCGAGCAUUGUCUCGAGAUGGAAUAAUGAAUCUACAAACAGGAACACUAUUGUUAAAAUAACUCCCUAGAUGAUGCUACGAUUGGUAAGAUAGGAAUUUAUUGAAACCAUUGUUGAAUAGUGGUUUUUGGAAGCAUAUUUCUUCAAUCAGUAGUCACUGGAGGUAUCACUCGUUUCAUCUGAGGGUGUUGAAAUUUUUUAAAUUUUGAAAUGACAUUUUCACACUUACGUGGUGAGGAACCACUGUUGUAAGUUAUUCUCCAGCCUUUUCUGACAAUUCUAGGGUUGGGCUGGUUGCCCUUCCUUUGCGGCCUCCUAGAGUCCAGUUGGAUACCUGAAUUCCAGUGGGAAGCUUUUAUUAAAUGUGUUUAUUUAAUCAAUUAAUUUGUUUAAUUAAAUGUCUUUAUUCCAUUAAGGGACUGGGCUAGGUGCUGGUAAUACAAAGAAAAGUAAGAUCCAUUUCCUCUUACUUGUAACUACAUGUCUGGUUAAUUGGAUGUUUCAUGAAUGUCACAGGGACCCCAGGAGCUAAGGAGCAUCCUCUGAGGGAAGGGUUUAUAACCUUGUUUUCUCUCUUCUCUUUUAAAUUAAAUUUACUGUGGUAUAG